rnacentral:rRNA from 1 species
UAGGGAAUCUUCGGCAAUGGGGGCAACCCUGACCGAGCAACGCCGCGUGAGUGAAGAAGGUUUUCGGAUCGUAAAGCUCUGUUGUAAGAGAAGAACGUGUGUGAGAGUGGAAAGUUCACACAGUGACGGUAACUUACCAGAAAGGGACGGCUAACUACGUGCCAGCAGCCGCGGUAAUACGUAGGUCCCGAGCGUUGUCCGGAUUUAUUGGGCGUAAAGCGAGCGCAGGCGGUUUAAUAAGUCUGAAGUUAAAGGCAGUGGCUUAACCAUUGUUCGCUUUGGAAACUGUUAAACUUGAGUGCAGAAGGGGAGAGUGGACUUCCAUGUGUAGCGGUGAAAUGCAUAGAUAUAUGGAGGAACACCGGUGGCGAAAGCGGCUCUCUGGUCUGUAACUGACGCUGAGGCUCGAAAGCGUGGGGAGCAAACAGG